CGAUGCAUAGCCGACCUGAGAGGGUGAUCGGCCACACUGGAACUGAGACACGGUCCAGACUCCUACGGGAGGCAGCAGUAGGGAAUCUUCCGCAAUGGGCGAAAGCCUGACGGAGCAACGCCGCGUGAGUGAUGAAGGUCUUCGGAUCGUAAAACUCUGUUAUUAGGGAAGAACAUAUGUGUAAGUAACUGUGCACAUCUUGACGGUACCUAAUCAGAAAGCCACGGCUAACUACGUGCCAGCAGCCGCGGUAAUACGUAGGUGGCAAGCGUUAUCCGGAAUUAUUGGGCGUAAAGCGCGCGUAGGCGGUUUUUUAAGUCUGAUGUGAAAGCCCACGGCUCAACCGUGGAGGGUCAUUGGAAACUGGAAAACUUGAGUGCAGAAGAGGAAAGUGGAAUUCCAUGUGUAGCGGUGAAAUGCGCAGAGAUAUGGAGGAACACCAGUGGCGAAGGCGACUUUCUGGUCUGUAACUGACGCUGAUGUGCGAAAGCGUGGGGAUCAAACAGGAUUAGAUACCCUGGUAGUCCACGCCGUAAACGAUGAGUGCUAAGUGUUAGGGGGUUUCCGCCCCUUAGUGCUGCAGCUAACGCAUUAAGCACUCCGCCUGGGGAGUACGACCGCAAGGUUGAAACUCAAAGGAAUUGACGGC
rnacentral:rRNA from 1 species